rnacentral:misc_RNA from 1 species
AUUCCUGUUAACAUCAGUUCUUUUCUUCGACAUUAAGCAGACUGCACUCUGUUGACGCGCCCUUCUUGCAACUCGCAAUACCACAAACAGUCAAGCACAAAGAUGGACAUCCGUGAAUCAAUCGGGAACCAGAACGCUGUCGCUUUGGGCUUCUCCAAGCAUGUGCUCUUAACCGAAGCCAACACCUCUAAUUCAGUCUUGUCGCCGCUGUCGAUCCAGGUGGUACUCGGCCUUAUUGCUGCUGGCUCUAAGGGUUCUACACUCGAUCAAUUGCUCUCUUUCCUGAAGUCCAAGUCCAAUAAUCAGUUCAGUUCUUUCUCCUCCGAUCUAGUUUCUGUGGUUUUUGCGGACGGAAGUGCCGCCGGUGGGCCACGCUUGUCGUUUGCCAAUGGUGUUUGGGUGGACAGUUCUCUCUCUCUUAAGCCCUCUUUCAAACAGGUUGUGGACAAUGUGUACAAGGCUGCUUCUAAUCAAGUUGAUUUCCA